CCAUGACAACCUAAAUACAAGUAAGGUAACGAAAUAUCCUAGGUGUGCUCUCAGCGAACUUCCGAUGAGAGUCGUGUUCAGAGGCGAGGUAUUAUUUGCUCUAACAUCAUACUCUAUUGAAUCUUUGUACAGAAGUAGAUUAUUUGGGUAAUGGCACAAUUAAAUUAGUUUACAAAUUUGUUCUCAUGCCAUUAAAAAGUUAAUUUUGUGAAUAAGUGCUCAACCUUACAAUGCAAACCUAUGUAGUUGGCAAUGCUCAAGGUCUAGCUGUGAAUUUAUUGUGUGCUACAAUCGCUCGAAGAUGGGGUUUGUGUUUUACUACAUGGUACGGGAUUUGGUUGGUUCAGAACUAGUUACCCACUUAUUAGCAAUUGUUAGUGUCAUACUAUAUUAGAUGGACCAAGGAACUAUCUUUUAAGUAAUUUUAAUGUUAGUAAGUGUCGUUAUGUAGCUAUAAUGAAUGAAAGAAACACUCAAAUUGUGUAAAAUUUCCUUUUGAAGUAGAAGUAGACAACGGUGUGAAUAUAUUUAGUUGGCCGUUUGAGUUAAUGAGCGCAAAUGAAUAGUAUGUGCUAUUGGACCAGAACGACUGAAAAUAGGCCAGUGGUGCUUAAGAGGACUAUAAGAAUAGCAAAUUCCCAAAUAGAAAUAUACGCGGUAUGGACAACUACAUAUUGGUUCGCGUAAAAAAGGAUUAUGAGGUUAGUCCCAAAAUGGAAUGAUUGGAAUAAUAAGUUGAAGAUAUGUGCAAAACCAUACAUAAAAUGUACUCUUCAUUUACAUGGUAAUUCUAAAUUUGUGAGUUAAAACUAGCCAUCUUAAUCCUGAUUAAUUUCCUCAUGAAACAAUUUAGCUGUACUACUACGAAAAAUUGAAUUCAUAUGGUAUAGCUAUGAAAAAGGUAACAUAAGUACUCUUCAAAACAUCACGUCAUGUCUACAAGAAUUGUAUAAAAUGGCUCCAUAGUCCAAUGCAAAAGCUUUCAAUAUUGUAAUUUCAAACUAAGGCCAUAUCUAUGUAAUGCAGCAAUAUCACUGGAAUUUGAGAGGAAACAGUUCAAUAUUCGCUUGUCGCAAUUCGUAUGGAGGAGAUGACGCUUGCAACCUCUUGGUGUUAACCUUUCUAUACCAAGGUACUAACUAGGAUCAAUUCUUCCCCAAAAGCAAAAUCCAUUCGAGGUUCUGCAAUUACAACAUGCGCUGCCAGCACUAUAUUAACCCCUCCCCCUCCCUCCCGUGCACACACACACAAAGAGAUUAAAAAGGUUUGGCAAAUACAACGUGCUCUCCCAGCACUAUAUAAAACCCAUCCUCCUCCUCCUCCUCCUCCUCUACACAUAGGGCAGUUGAUAUCCUCUCAAAUACAAACGAUCAGGCACCACCUUUGCGACCUGACCGUGCCUGCAAUUGAUAUUCCAGGGGCAUCAUCCCAGUGCUCCAUGGCCAUGUCAUCGGCCUCACUACUAAAGCGGUUCAGCGAUGUAGCACGGUCGCCAAAAGGGUGCCGCUACAACCCAGAGAGAUCCGGCGUUGGUAUUGUCUCGGCUGUUAUGGAACCAGCCGUUGCACGCCUACGCAUCGUCGGGCCUCUCAUCAACACCAACACACGUGAGAUCCUAGAGAUUACACUACCGAACCUCUGUUGGAGCAAUAGGAGGCCAUUCUGAGCAGCCAUACUGUCAUGCGGUCUAUGCCGCAGGUGGAUCGGUAGUGGCACCGUCUAGGCGUCUACAUGUUCAAAGGUGAGAUGGGAUUUUGUAAACAAGAGUGUCUUUGCGACUAUAUCACUGAGCAAUUGGAAAAGGAGACAGAGAGGGUGAGAUGGUCUGGAAGAGAAAAGGUGCCAACAAUGGAGGACAAGGAAGGCGACCAGAGCUGCAUUUUCUUCACCUGCGCUGGCAGCCUAUGAUGCACCUACGUCUAUGUUUGAGAGAUGUAUGGGCUUUGAAGGACCGGAACCUAUUUUUCACAACUGUAUAACUUGGUGCUUUUGUAAGUAAUAGAACACCUGAUGGUUAGUAAAUAAUUAUACACUUUUGACGUGGUA